AGUGAACGCUGGCGGUAGGCCUAACACAUGCAAGUCGAACGGCAGCACAGUAAGAGCUUGCUCUUACGGGUGGCGGGUGGCGGACGGGAGAGGAAUACAUCGGAAUCUACUUUUUCGGGGGGGAUAAGGAAGGGAAGGCUAAGAUAAUACAGCAUAUGCCGUAGGGUGGAAGGGGGGGGAAAUUCGCGGCUGGCGGGGUUGAACGAGCGGCUGACGGGUUAGCUGGUUGGGGGGGUGAAGGCCAACGAAGGGGCGGAUCCGCGGCCGGUCUGAGAGGAUGGUCGCCCACACUGGAGCUGGGCCACGGUCCAGACUCCUACGGGAGGCAGCAGUCUGGAAUAUUAGACAAUGGGCGCAAGCCUGAUCCAGCCAUACCGCGUGUGUGAAGACGGCCUUCGGGUUGUAAAGCCCUUUUUUUGGGAAAGAAAAGCUGCAGGUUAAUACCCCGCUGUUCUGACGGUACCCAAUGAAUAAGCACCGGCUAACUACGUG
rnacentral:rRNA from 1 species